UGGGUGACCUGCCCUCAGCUCUGGGAUAAGCCUGGGAGACUGGGUCUAAUACUGGAUAUUCACUUCCUAUCGCAUGGUGGGUGGUGGUAAAGUUUUUUCGGCUGGGGAUGGGCCCGCGGCCUAUCAGCUUGUUGGUGGGGUGAUGGCCUACCAAGGCGACGACGGGUAGCCGGCCUGAGGAGGGCGUCCGGCCACACUGGGACUGAGACACGGCCCAGACCUCCGUACGGGGA
rnacentral:rRNA from 1 species